CCCCAACACAAGGAGAGCCCCGACUUGGGAGGAGGGCUUUUCAGAUCGCAGCUUGGCCUGAGGCAGAGCCAGAGCGAUGAGGUCACCCAGCACAGCUGCUAACUAUUUCAAGGAAACAGCCAAUUCAAAGAAGGAAUUAAGUACAUAAUUGUGCAGAUGAUACAUGGAAAUGGUAAGAAUGGUGACAAUGGGACAUAAGUGACUGAAAUUUGGGAUACAUUGGAUUAGAAGAAAAUAAGCCCCCAAGAAACCGAAUAAGUCUGGAGGGCAGCAAGAGUGACUGUCCAGCUAAGAACCUCAUCAGCAAUGCAAAACAUUGUCACAGAUGUUGAAACAGACCCUGAGGUUAAUGCAUUCUUUCCAACAUUAGGUCCUAAAACUUCUCCUGAAAAGCUACCUUAAAUCUAACUUUUGAAAGUGC
rnacentral:lncRNA from 1 species